GAGACCCACGCCAACAGUUGCCAGCAUGUCCUCCGGGAUGGUGGGGACACUGUUGGGACCGCCUCUGCUAAAGAGGAGGAAGGAAUGGGCAACGGUAGGUCAGCAUGCCCCGAAUUAUCCGGGCUACACGCGGGCUACAAUGGUCAGGACAAUGGGUAUCGACACCGAGAGGUGAAGGUAAUCUCUUAAACCUGUCCUUAGUUCGGAUUGUGGGCUGCAACUCGCCCACAUGAAGCUGGAAUCCGUAGUAAUCGCGUCUCAAAAUGGCGCGGUGAAUAU
rnacentral:rRNA from 1 species